AACGCACCUUGCGCCCCUUGGCAUUCCGAGGGGCACACCCGUUUGAGUGUCGUGAAAUUCUCAAAAACCUUUCUUUGGAAAGGAUUUUGGACUUGGAGGCCUUUUGCUGGUUUCACCUUGAAGCGAGCUCCUCCCAAAUGGAUUAGUGGGGUCUGCUUUGCUGAUCCUUGACGUGAUAAGAUGAUUUCUACGUCUUGGGUUUGGCACUGUCACUUGGGCAUCCGCUUCUAACCGUCUUGUAGACAACGAUGGCGUUCCGGUCACCACCGUUUCAUCGGUGGGAGGCUUGACCCACCAAAAAACCUUGACCUCAAAUCGGGUGAGACUACCCGCUGAACUUAA
rnacentral:misc_RNA from 1 species